rnacentral:other from 2 species
UACACCCUGUGGUGUGCGAGAUCAGCCUGAAGUUUUGAGCCAACACCAAUGUAAAGGGAGCCCGGCCUCUGGAUGUGGAUUGUAAGACUCUACAUAGAGGAAACGUGAAUCAUGCAGGAGGGCACCCACCUGUGAGAACAGGUUCAGUAAAACUUUGGGGAUUGUCGGCACUAUGGGGUUAUG